rnacentral:rRNA from 1 species
UGCGACCUCAGGUCAGCGGGGGCUAAUUCGUUGGAUGUUCCUUGGCGCGGUUUGCGCCGGGGUUCGUUUAGGCAGCCGGGGAAGCAGCACCCAUGCAUCGACGAGCGAUGCACAGCAUGCAGUCCCCGACCAUGAGAGCCCGA